rnacentral:rRNA from 1 species
AGUGAACGCUGGCGGUAGGCCUAACACAUGCAAGUCGAACGGCAGCACAGUAAGAGCUUGCUCUUACGGGUGGCGAGUGGCGGACGGGUGAGGAAUACAUCGGAAUCUACUUUUUCGUGGGGGAUAACGUAGGGAAACUUACGCUAAUACCGCAUACGACCUACGGGUGAAAGCAGGGGAUCUUCGGACCUUGCGCGAUUGAAUGAGCCGAUGUCGGAUUAGCUAGUUGGCGGGGUAAAGGCCCACCAAGGCGACGAUCCGUAGCUGGUCUGAGAGGAUGAUCAGACACACUGGAAAUGAGACACGGUCCAGACUCCUACGGGAGGCAGCAGUGGGGAAUAUUGGACAAAGGGCGCAAGCCUGAUCCAGCCAUACCGCGUGGGUGAAGAAGGCCUUCGGGUUGUAAAGCCCUUUUGUUGGGAAAGAAAAGCAGCAGGUUAAUACCCCGCUGUUCUGACGGUACCCAAAGAAUAAGCACCGGCUAACUUCGUG